GGAGAAGAGAGGAGUGACUAGUGGGGUGGGAGAGGAGAGGAGUGACUAGUGGGGUGGGAGAGGAGAGGAGUGACUAGUGGUGGGAGAAGAGAGGAGUGACUAGUGGGGUGGGAGAGGAGUGACUAGUGGUGAGAGAAGAGAGGAGUGACUAGUGGGGUGGGAGAGGAGUGACUAGUGGUGGGAGAAGAGAGGAGUGACUAGUGGGGUGGGAGAGGAGUGACUAGUGGUGAGAGAAGAGAGGAGUGACUAGUGGGGUGGGAGAAGAGUGACUAGUGGUGAGAGAAGAGAGGAGUGACUAGUGGGGUGGGAGAGGAGUGACUAGUGGGGUGGGAGAGGAGUGACUAGUGGGGUGGGAGAGGUGUGACUAGUGGGGUGGGAGAGGAGUGACUAGUGGUGGGAGAAGAGAGGAGUGACUAGUGGGGUGGGAGAGGAGUGACUAGUGGGGUGGGAGAAGAGAGGAGUGACUAGUGGCGUGGGAGAGGGGUGACUAGUGGGGUGGGAGAGGAGUGACUAGUGGUGGGAGAAGAGAGGAGUGACUAGUGGGGUGGGAGAGGAGUGACUAGUGGGGUGGGAGAGGAGAGGAGUGACUAGUGGGGUGGGAGAGGAGAGGAGUGACUAGUGGGGUGGGAGAGGAGAGGAGUGACUAGUGGGGUGGGAGAGGAGUGACUAGUGGGGUGGGAAAGGAGUGACUAGUGGGGUGGGGGAAGAGAGGAGUGACUAGUGGGGUGGGAGAAGAGAGGAGUGACUAGUGGUGGGAGAAGAGAGGAGUGACUAGUGGGGGGGGAAGGAGUGACUAGUGGGGUGGGAGAAGAGAGGAGUGACUAGUGGGGUGGGAGAAGAGAGGAGUGACUAGUGGGGUGGGAGAAGAGAGGAGUGACUAGUGGUGGGAGAAGAGACGAGUGACUAGUGGGCUGGGAGAAGAGAGGAGUGACUAGUGGUGGGAGAAGAGAGGAGUGACUAGUGGGGGGAGAAGAGAGGAGUGACUAGUGGUGGGAGAAGAGAUGAGUGACUAGUGGGGUGGGAGAAGAGUGACUAGUGGUGGGAGAAGAGAGGAGUGACUAGUGGUGGGAGAAGAGCGGAGUGACUAGUGGGGUGGGAGAGGAGUGACUAGUGGGGUGGGAGAGGAGUGACUAGUGGGGUGGGAGAGGAGUGACUAGUGGUGGGAGAAGAGAGGGGUGACUAGUGGGGUGGGAGAGGAGUGACUAGUGGGGUGGGAGAGGAGAGGAGUGACUAGUGGGGUGGGAGAGGAGUGACUAGUGGUGGGAGAAGAGAGGAGUGACUCUGGGGGGAGAGAAGAGAGGAGUGACUAGUGGGGGAGAGAAGAGAGGAGUGACUAGUGGGGAGAAGAAGAGGAGUGACUAGUGGGGGAGAAGAGAGGACUGACUAGUGAGGGAGAAGAGCGGAGUGACUAGUGGGGGGGAGGGGGAGAAGAAGAGAACCCUCUGCCAGUGUUUAACUAAACCCUCUGCCAGUGUUUAACUAAACCCUCUGCCAGUGUUUUACUAAACCCUCUGCCAGUGUUUAACUAAACCCUCUGCCAGUGUUUUACUAAACCAUCUGCCAGUGUUUAACUAAACCCUCUGCCAGUGUUUUACUAAACCAUCUGCCAGUGUUUAACUAAACCCUCUGCCAGUGUUUUACUAAACCCUCUGCCAGUGUUUUACUAAACCCUCUGCCAGUGUUUUACUAAACCAUCUGCCAGUGUUUAACUAAACCCUCUGCCAGUGUUUUACUAAACCCUCUGCCAGUGUUUUACUAAACCCUCUGCCAGUGUUUAACUAAACCCUCUGCCAGUGUUUAACUAAACCCUCUGCCAGUGCCUGUCAUUUCCAAAGUGCCUCUUCCAUAGUCAAAACCCCACAGCAGCAGCCUUAUUAAUAACCCAGCCAUUGAGCUGUUCAGAACUCAAGCCUCCUCCCUCAGCUUAAGGACAUGACUUCAGACUGGCUUAUACUGUUUUAAGGAGUGACUGUUGUAAAGUUCCACACACACACAAACACCCACGUAGAGUUAACAUGCAUGUACAUACACAAGCACACGAACGUGCACACACACACACACACACACACACACACACUGACGCUGUUCUGGAAACGUCUUUCCAUAUGAUAUACGACCAUCAACCAGAGCACAUCACGUCACAUCAUAAAGAAUAAAUAGUAGAAGUGGUCCUAUUGUGCCAAACAUAACAUCGACCAGGGUGGGUUUCACUAUUCCACAGUAAUGUAUCAGUGAUGUUUUCCUGUUAUUGAAUUCCUUUCUUGAUGCAUAUCCUCCGAGUGCUGCUGAGCGGGAAUCAUUGUUGAUACCCUCUCGGACACUCUCUCUCUGCGCUAACUGUGUGUGUAACGACAGGCGGGACGUGCACACCAGGACCAGUCCUCUUCCUGUCCCUGUACCCUCUGGGGGGGGUCUGCUUGAUGACAUCACUGCUACUCCCCUCUCCUACCUCUUCUCCUCCUCUCUUUCCUCCCCUUCAUCCUCCUGCUUCUUUUGUCCUUCUCUUCCUCUUCCUCCUCCUCUCUUAUUCCUCUCCUUCUCAUCCUUCUCCGUUAUCCCUCUUCUCCUCCUCCUACCUCUUCUCUCUCCUCUCCCCUCCUCCUCCUCCUCUCUUAUUCCUCUCCCUCUCCUCCUUCUCUGUUAUCCCUCUUCUCGUC
ensembl:lncRNA